rnacentral:lncRNA from 1 species
AUAUAUAUAUAUAUAUAGAGUCCGUCUCCCGUACUUUCGAAAGUACGGGAGGCCCCGUACUUGUAAGUUGUUUUCGAUGAUAGGACGUUCAAUUCGACGAUCGGCUCCGUUAGGUAUGAUCUACCCUAUUGGAACUAUCUAGAAACCAAAUUUUAGAUUUUUUUGACAUCAUUUACUAAGCGAUCAAAAGGUCUAAAAAAUGACUAUUUUAACGGUCGAUGUGGCACAUUUUUAAGUUCAACGGUGUAGAAGUAUCCAAAUUACAUGAAAAUUUAAUAAAAAAUUCUACUUAAUAUCAGUAGCAAGAUCAAUACUUCCGAUUUAAAAUUUGAAUCCUUUAUCACUGUUUUUUAUGAGAUUUUCAUUUUUAGCCGUUCAUUUUGAGGCUACUCGUUCACUAGACAAACGAAAUCAAAAAAUUAUGAAAUUUGGUUUCUAGAUAGUUCCAAUAGCGUAGAUCAAGUUUAACGGAACCGAUCGCCGAAUCGGAUGUCCCAUCAUCGAAAACAACUUACAAGCACGGGACCUCCCGUACUUUCGAAAGCAUAGGAGCCUAGCUACAUAUAUAUAUAUAUAUAUAUAUAUAUAUAC